rnacentral:rRNA from 1 species
UACAGAGGUCCCAAGCGUUGUUCGGAUUUACUGGGCGUAAAGGGUGCGUAGGUGGCGAGGUAAGUUCGAUGUGAAAUCUCCGAGCUCAACUCGGAAAUGGCAUUGAAUACUAUCCCGCUUGAGGGUCGGAGGGGAGACUGGAAUUCUCGGUGUAGCAGUGAAAUGCGUAGAUAUCAAGAGGAACACCAGUGGCGAAGGCGAGUCCCUGGACGAUACCUGACACUGAGGCACGAAAGCCAAGGGAGCAAACAGG